GAUGAACGCUGGCGGCGUGCCUAAUACAUGCCAGUCGAGCGAACAGACGAGGAGCUUGCUCCUCUGACGUUAGCGGCGGACGGGUGAGUAACACGUGGAUAACCUACCUAUAAGACUGGGAUAACUUCGGGAAACCGGAGCUAAUACCGGAUAAUAUAUUGAACCGCAUGGUUCAAUAGUGAAAGACGGUUUUGCUGUCACUUAUAGAUGGAUCCGCGCCGCAUUAGCUAGUUGGUAAGGUAACGGCUUACCAAGGCAACGAUGCGUAGCCGACCUGAGAGGGUGAUCGGCCACACUGGAACUGAGACACGGUCCAGACUCCUACGGGAGGCAGCAGUAGGGAAUCUUCCGCAAUGGGCGAAAGCCUGACGGAGCAACGCCGCGUGAGUGAUGAAGGUCUUCGGAUCGUAAAACUCUGUUAUUAGGGAAGAACAAAUGUGUAAGUAACUAUGCACGUCUUAACGGUACCUAAUCAGAAAGCCACGGCUAACUACGUG
rnacentral:rRNA from 1 species